rnacentral:rRNA from 1 species
AUGCCCUUCUCUGAAGCUAUCAAGAUCUUGAGUACACCUAGCAAUGUGCAUUGUGGCCUCACCACUCCCGCUGCUACAUCUGGAGGCCCUACUAGUACCACUUGCCCAAUAUCCAUUCAAAAAUCAUACUGCUCUGAUCUGUUAAAAGAACUGGAGGAUUCUGAAUCUGAUACUGCAAGUGAAGCUGCUGAUUCAAGAGAGGAGUUGGGUACUUUUGAUACCUCUAUAGUCAGUGGUCUGAAGAUGAUGUGUUUAGUGGAAAAUAGGGCUCUUCUCAAUGAGCAACCUGCUACCAAGAACAAGUAG